UUAAUUGAAGAGUUUGAUCAUGGCUCAGAUUGAACGCUGGCGGCAGGCCUAACACAUGCAAGUCGAGCGGCAGCACAGAGGAACUUGUUCCUUGGGUGGCGAGCGGCGGACGGGUGAGUAAUGCCUGGGAAAUUGCCCGGUAGAGGGGGGAUAACCAUUGGAAACGAUGGCUAAUACCGCAUAACCUCGCAAGAGCAAAGCAGGGGACCUUCG
rnacentral:rRNA from 1 species